GUUUCUGUCCUCUCUGGGGCGCACGCCCGCUCCUAUGCACAGAGUAGGCGUGGCCUAUAUGACGUAGUACAUGCUCUGGUCGCUAUUAUCUGAGAGCCUGCCUCCGGCUUCCUCAUACGUGUGAUAAUGCUGCCUUCUUGUGGUUCUUCGUCAGUGGUUUUAGAAUUCUGCAGACUUCAAAUUAGAGUUAAGUUAACUAAUCCCUACCCCGAUUAAAAUCACACUACCAGCUUUAGGAUUAUGACUGUAUAUGCCAUAGACAAAUAAAGUGGCAUUGUUAACUAUUACAAAUGCAUAUUUCACUGUUUAAAUUAAUAUUGCUUUCACAGGGCUCAUCUCUUAAACACAUGUGGAUCCUCCAUAACACCUGUAUUCAUUGACUGCCAGCAGAAGCUACCAGGCUCUGCGACACACCCUUGGAAGAACUGAUCCCUGCAGGAUAUCACGAUUACGAAGUUGAGAGCAACGUGAUACAUCCAACCGGUCAUCGAGGCAACAUCCUCACUAGUGUUGGGGGCCAAAUCGAUGGCGACCACGCUGUGCAGUGGAUCGAGCAGAACAGUACCUACCGCCUUCUGUGCCUUCGGUUGAAAGGUUGCACAUUUCACAACCACACCAACGGAGACCUGACCAUCUUCAGUGUGACUGAGUCAGAGUGGGUUAUACACCCUAUCACUCAACGGUAAUGACAGCACCACUACCACUAAGGUUGCUAGUUUGAUC
ensembl:lncRNA